rnacentral:rRNA from 1 species
GAUGAACGCUAGCGAUAGGCUUAACACAUGCAAGUCGAGGGGUAGCACGGGUGGCAACACUGGGUGACGACCGGCGCACGGGUGAGUAACGCGUAUGCAACCUGCCCUUAACAGUGGGAUAACCCGUCGAAAGGCGGCCUAAUACCGCAUAAUCAUAGUGUUCCGCAUGGGAUGUUGUGUAAAGAGCUUCGGUUAAGGAUGGGCAUGCGUGACAUUAGGUAGUUGGUGAGGUAACGGCUCACCAAGCCCUCGAUGUCUAGGGGUUCUGAGAGGAAGGUCCCCCACACUGGUACGGAGACACGGACCAGACUCCUACGGGAGGCAGCAGUGAGGAAUAUUGGUCAAUGGUCGCGAGACUGAACCAGCCAAAUCGCGUGAAGGAUGAAGGUAUUAUGUAUUGUAAACUUCUUUUGUCGGGGAAUAAAGUGCAUCACGUGUGGUGUUUUGUAUGUACCCGAAGAAUAAGGAUCGGCUAACUCCGUGCCAGCAGCCGCCGUAAAAC